rnacentral:lncRNA from 1 species
CAAUCUGAAGACAAUCGUCCUCUAAUAUUCCCAACGACCAAAGAUGACUCUUCAAGACAAACUACUCCCAUCACCCAAAGUCAGGAAGUCACUUCGAAUUUGGGAGUAAGGGGCAAGAGUUGGGUUAUGAGUCAUUUUUAUUGACUAGAGCACUUUGGUUUGAGGCAAGGUGAUUUGGAUCAUAAAAUAGCUCCAACCUAAGGAGAAACAGUAAGUGACGGCCUCGGACAAUAACCAAUCCUUUCACCA